rnacentral:rRNA from 1 species
UACAGAGGUCUCAAGCGUUGUUCGGAUUCAUUAGGCGUAAAGGGCGCGUAGGCGGCCAGCACAAGUCAGUUGUGAAAUCUCCGAGCUUAACUCGGAAAGGUCAACUGAUACUGUGCGACUAGAGUGCAGAAGGGGCAACUGGAAUUCUCGGUGUAGCGGUGAAAUGCGUAGAUAUCGAGAGGAACACCUGCGGCGAAGGCGGGUUGCUGGGCUGACACUGACGCUGAUGCGCGAAAGCCAGGGGAGCGAACGGG